CAGCACGUAGUCUAGAUGACCCUUCCCUGCAUUUACCAUCCCUGACAAAAACACCUGUUUUCACCGAAUGGUUUUGACGUCGAUGGAUGCAGAAAAUAACCGAAAGAACAAUCAUCGAAAAACAUGUCACCCCUUGACCCAAAUGAACUCAAACCCCCCACCGCCACCGUGUCAAAACUGGGCCCAAGAACCAGCGUCCAGUCCAUGAUCAGAAGAAUUCUGAAGAGGAAAACAUCUGUAAGCAUUUCGGAGGACAGUGAUAGCAGAUCUGUGAGGUGGUGUUGCUUACCAUGCGAAUGUGACCAGGACAAGAGAGACAGCUACAGAAUGCAUCUGUCGGCGAGCGAAUUUUUCAUCGAAUAUUAAAGUCAAAACCAUUUAUUGA